rnacentral:rRNA from 1 species
UACGAAGGGGGCUAGCGUUGUUCGGAAUUACUGGGCGUAAAGCGCGCGUAGGCGGUGAUCUUUGUCAGAGGUGAAAUCCCGAGGCUCAACUUCGGAAUUGCCUUUGAAAUGGGAUCGCUUGAGUCCGAGAGAGGAUGGCGGAAUUCCUAGUGUAGAGGUGAAAUUCGUAGAUAUUAGGAAGAACACCGGUGGCGAAGGCGGCCAUCUGGCUCGGUACUGACGCUCAGGCGCGAAAGCGUGGGGAGCAAACAGG